rnacentral:rRNA from 1 species
GACGAACCGUGCGAACGUUAUUCGGAAUCACUGGGCUUAAAGCGCGCGCGGGCGGGCCGGCGCGUCGGCCGCUGAAAGCCCCCCGGCUCAACCGGGGGAGGGGCGCCGAUACGGCCGGCCUGGAGGGGCGUAGGGGGGAUCCGGAACUUCCGGUGGAGCGGUGAAAUGCGUUGAGAUCGGAAGGAACGCCCGUGGCGAAAGCGGGAUCCUGGACGCCGCCUGACGCUGAGGCGCGAAAGCCAGGGGAGCGAACGGG